rnacentral:tRNA from 2 species
UGCGGGGUAGAGCAGCCUGGUAGCUCGUCGGGCUCAUAACCCGGAGGUCGCUGGUUCAAAUCCAGUCCCCGCUA